UACCAGCACCCCGAGUGGUCGGGACGAUUAUUGGGCCUAAAGCAUCCGUAGGCGGUCUGGAAAGUUGGGUGUGAAAUCCCUCGGCCUAACCGAGGAACUGCGCUUGAAACUACCAGACUCGAGGGAGAUAGAGGAAAGCGGAACUGAUGGUGGAGCGGUGAAAUGCGUUGAUAUCAUCAGGAACACCGGUGGCGAAGGCGGCUUUCUGGGUCUUACCUGACGCUGAGGAACGAAAGCCAGGGGAGCGAACGGG
rnacentral:rRNA from 1 species